CAUGCCUUUCUGUGACAACAGGUGGCCCUGUGGCUGCAGACGAAUCCUGCAGGAAACGCGUUCUUGUCACUGAAUUGUCACCUCAGAGAACGGCUUUCUCCUUUUUGUUCUUCCAGAAGGUGGCCUGGAGGGGUUGCACUCACAUGGCUUCAUCCCUGCUAUGUAGAGAGUGCCUGUUGUACAGAGAUUUAGUUUCAGUCACGCUGUUGUACUGUUCAAUUCCAGUUGCAGAGCCAGUAAAUUGCCCAGUUUGUUCAUGAAGUCGCAAUCCUACAAUCCCUGCAAUUGCAGGUGCAGCCUGUGGUUUUGGAGAAAGGUUUGGUUGCUCAGACGUGAGACAGGUACUCUUGGCCAUAUUCCCCCUGAUAGCAGCAUGAGAGAUUAUAUGGCUUCUGAUGCACAGUGGUGUUUCUAUCUAAAUUACGACAAUGAUCAAAAGGACUGAGGUCCUGACCCGGACUACAAGCAGGAAGAGAGACAGGCUCUUGUCAGCUCCAUCAGCUCAGAUGGUACCAACCACGUCACUGAGUCUAGAUAAACCGAUCUGGAGGUGAAGACCCACCUGGAAUGAGGAGUGCAGGACCCCUGUGAAACACCAACUCUGAACACAGAAGCUCAAAAUGUGCUGCAGUUCCUAAUACAAGCGCCUGGCAGCUUCGUUCUGGAAGAAUCAAAUGUUAAUACUUCCCGGGCCAUGUGCUAGACAGAGCUUGGAGAACAAGCUCACCACUGCUACCCCACGCCUACGAGUGACCGUCGGCUGACCAUUCAGGAGUGAGGAGUCUCUGUCGCACUGUCGGCGGUCUCAGGAUGGACAGAAGCCGGACCGCAGCGGUGAUCUCCAGCGACAAGGAGGAGCUGAAGGAAAGACUGGCUUUGCUUAAGAAGGAGUACCUCAGGACUGUCCAGAGACUGCAGCGCGCGGAGCGAUCCCAGGUGGUCUGGCGGCACGAGAGGAGCGGAAUCGCGGAGCAGUACCGCCCGCCUCAGGAAGAACCGGGCUCAGCCCAGCAGUCCUCUUGCU